UCAGCCCUAAACACAAAUAAUUUUAAAAACAAAAUUAUUCGCCAGAGUACUACCGGCAACAGCCUAAAACUCAAAGGACUUGGCGGUGCUUUAUACCCUUCUAGAGGAGCCUGUUCUAUAAUCGAUAAACCCCGAUAAACCUCCCCAAUUCUUGCUAAUACAGUCUAUAUACCGCCAUCUUCAGCAAACCCUAAAAAGGAACAAAAGUAAGCGCAAUCAUCACAUAUAAAA
rnacentral:rRNA from 1 species